AUCGAACGCUGGCGGCAAGCCUAACACAUGCAAGUCGAACGAGUGGCGGACGGGCGAGCAAUGUCUGGGCAACUGCCUGAUGGAGGGGUCUAACUACUGGAAACGGUAGCUAAUACCGCAUACCAUCGGAUGUGCCCAGAUGGGAUUAGCUAGUAGGUGGGGUAAAGGCUCACCUAGGCGACGAUGCCUAGCUGGUCUGAGAGGAUGACCAGCCACACUGGAACUGAGACACGGUCCAGACUCCUACGGGAGGCAGCAGUGGGGAAUAUUGCACAAUGGGCGCAAGCCUGAUGCAGCCAUGCCGCGUGUAUGAAGAAGGCCUUCGGGUUGUAAAGUACUGUCAGCGGGGAGGCGGUACCCGCAGAAGAAGCACCGGCUAACUCCGUGCCAGCAGCCGCGGUAAUAC
rnacentral:rRNA from 1 species